rnacentral:rRNA from 1 species
GACGAACCGUCCAAACGUUAUUCGGAAUUACUGGGCUUAAAGGGCGCGUAGGCGGCCGUGCAAGUGGAAGGUGAAAUCCCUCGGCUCAACCGAGGAACUGCCUUUCAAACUGCAUGGCUUGAGUCCGGGAGAGGUGAGUGGAAUUCCCAGUGUAGCGGUGAAAUGCGUAGAUAUUGGGAGGAACACCAGUGGCGAAGGCGGCUCACUGGACCGGAACUGACGCUGAGGCGCGAAAGCGUGGGGAGCAAACGGG